UAUGGACACUGAGGUUUUGGUAGGGGGAAGCAGGAGAGAAAGAGGGUGAGGAGGACUCUAGCAAGUUUACGGGAAACAAGGCAAAUAGGCUGAAGGAAAAAAUAGUCUUUACAGAAAAAAAUAUGUCACUACUAACCGUAGGGAAAUUUAGUGAGUUAGCCUUUCAGCAACCUCUACUUUAUUCUCCACAGUCCUGUCACAGCAGUGCCAUUUAUUUUUCUUCUCACUCUUAUCGUUGGAUUGGUCAUUCUUUAAAUGAUUUUCUUCACAGAAUAUUGCCUGACUCAAGUUUAGUGACAAGAACUCCAAACUUCUGAAAGUUCAGUCUUUAAAAGCCAACGUUUGUAUUGCAAUAGAUAAGGAGGUAAAAAAACAAAAUGGGAUUAACUCCUAUCACUCGGAGAAAACUGAGGAAAAGCUGUUUCUGGCUCCUAAAGGGGAUGAACUGAGCCUUCCAGGGAAAAACCCUUGAGGAGACUUGAAGAGGAGGGAGAACUGAAGGCAUCCUGGAAAAAGUGAGAAUCAAAUUGCCAGAGGGAAAAAGGAGUAAAGCCAGACAAUAAGAGAUGACUUCUUGAUGAAAGAAAGAGAGUGCCCUCCGGCCUUAGUAAGAGGGAAGAGAAUUCUACGCAUUUCUUUUCCUUUGUGAGGCAAGCAGGCCUGUGGGUUUUUUGUACGAUUUCAUAGAGGGAAGGCCAAUCAAUUUGGUGAUCAUUUUUCACCCAGAAAUUUUAUCUAAACCAUGUUCAUUGUUAUAGUCAUUAAGAUAUUUGAUCAGCCUUAAGAAACUCUAACGUUUAACUGCCCCCAGGGCCAGCAGUCAGCCACACCAAGGCAGGGGGAAAGAAGAAUCCUUGCCAGGCCUGGCACUGUGUGCCCCACACGAGCUGUUGGGCCAGCUUCCCCACUUCACGAGCAUGUCCGAAGCAGCGGCCACAUCGGAGGAGGAGCUUCCAAGUGAAACUGUGCUGGGAUUUCCAAGGCCCCACGUGACCACAGAAGCCCAAGCGCACUGGACAGUUGAUAGGCUUAUUCGCAGGAGCCGGGAUGCCUGUGCUACCCUCGGACACAGGAAGUUCCAAGACGUUAUCCAGAUCUAGCCAUGCAGCCCAAGAGCGGGAGUACAGCCUGUGGGGAAGGCUUGGAGGGUCAGGUGGCUAGGUGCUGAAAGCACCCAAGGUAAGAAAGAAAGGGAAGGUGACAUAAGGGAUAAUGAUCUAGUUUCUCUAAGGGCAAGGAAAAUAGGGGCAGUGAUCAGAUUUGCAAAUAAAUGAAACUGGGGAAGCCAAACCUCAAUAGAGUGAGUUUAAAAUUACUAAUUAAAGCAUCUUUAACAUAGAACCACACAUAAUGCUCAUUUCCAUUGAACACAGAUAGGUGGAAAUUUUUUUAUGGUAAGAAAGUCUCUCUCCAGCCCCUGUUUGUCACUAUUAAAACUCGAUAUUUCUAUUUAAUAACUUUUGUUUUUUACAGUGCAGUUAGUAUUUGGUCUUGAAUACUUGGCCUGGAGAUUUAGUCCACUAGGGAGGUGGAGAUUGGCCCUCUGGGCUCAAGUGGGAAGCAGCAGCCCCCAAAGUGGAGCAGCAGUAAGUGGUCUCUCGCGGCCAGGUCAUAGAAGGCUGUUGGCAGCAGGGGAGUAGAGGUACAAGAGGGUGGGAAAGAAGAACGUCAGGAAUACGUUUCUUGUGGUGGUGGACUUCGGGAUACAGUGUCACUGCAUUCACACCCGAUGGGGCUUUUUCUCUUCAAAAUUUGAAAAAAGAAUAUUUGUUUCCUCCAGCAGAAAAGUAUCAACAACCUUCCUGGAAGAAUGAGGUGAAGUUACAGGCAGAGUAAAAGUGCCAUCGUGGCUGGUGAAGGAGUCCUUGCUGGCCUGGCAUCUGUCCCUGCAGCCCCAUAUUGCGAAGGGGAAGCAGGGACAGCACGGUGAGGGGGAGCAGGGCUACUGGGUGGGAAGAAGUUGAACAGAAGGUGUGAGUCCACUGCAGUACUGCCCCCGAUCCUCACUGGGAGUAGCACUGCAAGGGGGAUAGUGGCAAGGGAGGAAGGGAUUGUUUAUGGGAGCCUCCUGGUUCGUCCUCCUAUCCUCUUUCUGUUUACCCUCCCCACUUUGCCCCACCUCUUUCAUGCUCCCUCUUUGCUCCAUCCCCUUGCUUCUGUCUUUUUCCCCCACCUUCUCCACCAACACAUUUCAUGUGCAAACAUCUUCAUUCUUGGACCACAGUGCCCUAGCCUAGUGAGAUGGUCCAGCCUCCUGUGGAAUUCACCAGCCUGUUGACUGCCAUCUCAGGACGCAUUUCAGUGCCCCAGCUGAGACGACCUGAAGCCAAGGAAGAAAACGGUAAGGGAAAGCCUGCUUCCAGGAAAAAUUUGAUACGGUAGGUUCGGACACGAGGGGAGGGGGCAGACACAUUUUUGAGGGAAGGAGGGACAAUGAGAGGGAUUAAAUUUGUGUGUCAGGGAAACUGCUUUUGGCUCAACUUCUUGGGUGGUCUUGAAAAGCGAUUCGUUGGAAAAACGAGGUCAUUCCAGGUAAAGCAAGAGCGCAUCCCUGGCUGCUGAAGUGUGUGAUGGCUUCUGCAUCAAUGGCCUGGCACUGUCCCUGCAGCCCCAUGUUGCAGGGGGAAGCCGGGGCAGCAUGGUGAGAAGAAGCAGGGAGACUGGUUGUGACGAGGUAGGACUGAGGAUCUGAACCGCAGCAGUAUUGCCAGUCGGUUCCCCUUGAUGCUCAGGGGGUGAACCAUUGCAGGGGGGUCAGUGGAGUGCAGGGAGGAGGGGUCUCCCCUUCUCCCUUCCUCCCCCUUCCUUUUAUGGCCUCCUUUUCUAUCCUCUUCCCUUUCCCGGAUCUUCUUAGUCAAACAGCCCCUCGACAUUCCAGGACCCUGGUCCCCAGAGCUAGCCAAGUUGUCCAGCUUCCUUUGGAAUUUACUUGCCAUCAGCCAUCUUGGGAUAUUCCGGACUCCCUAUUCCUUUGCAUCCCAACUGAGAGAAUCCCAGGCCAGUGGACAAAAUGGUAAGAGAAACCCUCUCUCUAGGAAGAUUUUCAUGUAAGAGGUAAGAACUCCAGGGAGGAGGGAAGAUGCACACUGUUGAGGGAAGGAUGGAGGGAGAAUUUAAUUGACAAAUAGUAUGCUCGUGGAAAAGGAGGGAGACUAAAUUUGGGGGAUCAUAUAACUGUAUUUUUUGGACUAACCUCCUGGCUAGUUUUUCAAAAUCUUUAAUAAAACCUUUUUCUUUUGAGAAAUGAGUUGGUUACAGGUGGUGCAGGAGAGCAUUCCUGGCUAGUGAAGGAAUCCUGUGAUUGCAUCUGCCUCGCUGGCCUGGCAGCUGUCCCUGCUGCCCCAUGUUGCAGUGGGGGGAAGCAGGGAGAGCUUGGUGAGAGGGAGCCGGGGAAACGGGGGGGCUAAGAGGGAGGAAUUGAGAUUUUUUACCCCUAGUAGCACUGCCACUAGGUGCCCCCUGGUGAGAGCGUCACUGCAGGGGGGACAGUGGCAGUGGAGGGUGGGAAGAAAGGGAGGAGAGGAUUAUUCGGGGUGGGGGCUUCUGUUUCCCCCCUCUUUUCCUCUUUCUGUUCACCCUAGUUUUAUUGCCUCACCUCACUAGCUCUUCCUCUGUUUCAUCUCAUCCCCUUCCUUCUCCCUCCUCACCACCUCCACAAGAAUUCUCUUAAUCAAACAGCACCCCAGGGUCUAGACCACGCUCCCCAGACCUAGCCAUAUGGUCCAGGUUCCUCUGGAAUUCACCAGCCUACUGACAGCCAGGACUGACAUGUUCGACGCAUUCCAUGGCACCACAUACGUGACCUCCCCGGGCCAGUGGAGAAUAUGUUCUAUCACUCAGGUGCCCAAGGAAAUUCCCUGAGGAGAAUCAGGAUGGAAAGGAGAGCUGAGGGGAAAUCCAGGAGACCUGUGGACAGCAACACAUAUGGAGAGGACAUAAGGAGCUGACUGUCUUUUAAAGAAAAAAAAAAUAAGUAUCUUAAGUUGUAUCUGGUGUGGGAGGAAAUUGUAAUAUUGUUCUACCCAAAUGAACCUUAAAAAAAGCCCUCUUCCUAGCAAUUAGCAGAUUAUACGUCCCGUAUCUUUCUCUCCAAUUUAUUAAUCUAGGACUUGGGAGAAAUAAAUGAAAUAAUCUUUUCCUCACAGAAGAUUUGCCCAAUCCAUUUUCAGAGGAAAAAACUUGAGUUAGGGUAGCUUUUUAUACCUUAAAAUUUUAGUCAGGGACAGAAAGGAGAUGGAAGUAGCCUAAAUAUAAUGGCCAAUAAUUUAAUAGAGUGCAGACAGAAUGAGGUUUCCUAGAAAAGAAAUAAAUAGGAAAUGUAAAUUAGGUCAAAAGGAGCUUUAGCGUAAAUUUCCACAGGAAAUUUACUUUUUAAUCACCAAAAACAUCAAAUAGAUUUUCAUAGUAGAAACCACUGUGAUUUUUGAGAGUUCUCUCCCCUGACUAUUGGUUUGGGUAACUGUUGUGAGGAUUUUGAUAAAGAUAAGAGAGAGAAAUGAAAAUUCUAUCCAAGGCAAUCCUGUAAUAACACUAAUAUGGAAUGGAUUUGGAGAAGACUCCUCACCUGCUCUUAUCUAGGGAAGCGAAGGUGUGGCUUUGCUCUCAAACCCAGCUUGGUUCUUUUUAGAAACCGGAACUGCCCACUUCACCUGCGUGCUUCGAGAGAAAUGGAGACGUCAGCCUGGGGUGGGCGAGGAGGGCCAGGUGGAGAGAAGCCAGCCUGCACCCAAGGAAAAGACUGGAACCAAAGUGAAAAGAAUUCAAAUGGCUCAGCUCUUCAUCGGAAAAAAAAUGGAAAAACGAAGAAGAUGAAAAUGAGGAUCAAGUUGAGGAAAGCUGCAAGAGCUGGGUAAAGAGAAACUCUUUUAGCGUCCACUCAAUUUCCCAGGAGUCUGUAAGAGUUCCACCCCUGAUCUUUAUGACCAGAAACAAGGAGAGAGAGAAAAAAAUUAAUAUCGGAGGUUAAAAAGGAGACAUUUCCUCACAUUUCCAAGACAGGCAAUUGCCAAACCCUUCACAAGCUUUUAGGACUUGGGAUAGGAGAGACAGUACUUACCUUCACAUCCUUCAUGCCAUAUCCUUCCUUCAUAAUUCUCUGCUGGGUCUUUAAGGCUCAACUCCCUGAGAGAGCAGAGUGAAGGCUUGCAAAUGAAAAGGAGAAACCUGCCUUAUGCAGUAUUUCUCUCUCAAUUCUUUCUUGGGUCUUUAAGGCCACGUGUCAGCUGUGUGACUGUGGGCAAGCCCCUUAACUUCUCUGUG